ACGGGAGGCAGCAGUGAGGAAUAUUGGUCAAUGGACGGAAGUUUGAACCAGCCAAGUCGCGUGAAGGAUGAAGGUAUUAUGGAUUGUAAACUUCUUUAGCAGUGGAGUAAUAAGGGGAUCGCGAUCCCUGAUGCAAGUACACUGAGAAUAAGGAUCGGCUAACUCCGUGCCAGCAGCCGCGGUAAUACGGAGGAUCCGAGCGUUAUCCGGAUUUAUUGGGUUUAAGGGUGCGCAGGCGGCUUUUUAAGUCAGUGGUCAAAUCGUGACGCUCAACGUCAUCCCGCCAUUGAUACUGGAGAGCUUGAUUGCGGUCGAGGUUUGCGGAAUUCGUUGUGUAGCGGUGAGAUGCAUAGAUAUGACGAAGAACACCGAUUGCGUAGGCAGCAGACCAGGCCGUAAAUGACGCUCAUGCACGAAAGUGCGGGGAUCGAACAGGAUUAGAUACCCUGGUA
rnacentral:rRNA from 1 species